CACCAGACCAGACAUUUCUGACCCCAGGUAAAUUAUGUCACUGAGAAAUCCAGUGAUAGCUGACAAGGGUUGACAGGGGGGUCAAAAGCCUGAAAAUUUAGUAUAAAUAAUAGAGCUGAUGAACAGGGAUUCAGCCAGCCAAAACCAGGAUGCACUCGGGCUGGAGAGCCUGCUGAGGACCUGACGUCCCAUCACUGUCAUCAUUUCCCGAGCCUCCGCCUGAUCCUCACCACUUUCACAUUCUACAGUCUCAUCUGGACCUUGGUGAGAGCUGCAACUCCUCCCUACGACCCCCUCCUCAACUGGGCGUCCACUCCACACCAGGAGAAGCCUGCCUUGGUUCCAGACCUGGUCACCGUGGUCUGAGUGAGUGUGCAUCUGCAGGAUACAAAACCUAAGGCUGAAGACUUUUGAGCUUAGCACGCAGAGGGAAUGUCUGUUGUUGAGAGCCACAGUUUAGUCGGACGUCGCCUGGCAUUUUUGCCAGAGGGAAUGGUUAAAAGGUGACCCUGCUCAGGAAGAGGGCAGCUCAGGGAUGAGGGCGGAUCUUGCUGCCUGGCUACUUUGGAACUCCUGUCGCCCGCUACUUUGCAGUUCCCCUUGAGUUCUUGCAGGGUUCUGGGAGAAUUGGCACACAGAGCCCGGUGGAGUGUGUGUGUUCCCGGGAAGUAUGUGUAGAGUGCCGGUGAGAGUUCGGGAAUAAAGGGUUGCUGUUUGAACCUACAAGACUUUGUGGCGGCUCGGUUAUUUUGUGCCCAGCCAGACUGCGGCAGUCUGUUAUGAGCUGUCAUGAUUAAGUGUGUUUGCAGUGCUUACAAUUAAUCUAGAAUUGUUUGCUGUGAAUUGAUUAUGUCUAUUGCCAUGCCCAGAGUUAAGGAUUGCUGUUUUCUUGAUUAAGAACCUAUAGUGUGAAAUUGUAUGGAGUGAAUAAAG
rnacentral:lncRNA from 1 species